CCAAAGACAACUCUCAACAACGGAUAUCUUGGCUCUUACAACGAUGAAGAACGCAGCGAAAUGCGAUACGUAGUGUGAAUUGCAGAAUUCCGUGAACCAUCGAAUCUUUGAACGCAUAUUGCGCUCGAGGCCUCGGCCAAGAGCACGCCUGCCUCAGAGUCGGUUUUCC
rnacentral:rRNA from 2 species